AAACCAACAGGGAUUGCUCUAGUAACGGCGAGUGAAGCAGCAAUAGCUCAAAUUUGAAAUCUGGCGUCUUCGGCGUCCGAGUUGUAAUGUGUAGAGGAUGCUUCUGGGCAGCCACCGACCUAAGUUCCUUGGAACAGGACGUCAUAGAGGGUGAGAAUCCCGUAUGCGGUCGGAAAGGCACCCUACACGUAGCUCCUUCGACGAGUCGAGUUGUUUGGGAAUGCAGCUCUAAAUGGGAGGUAAAUUUCUUCUAAAGCUAAAUAUUGGCCAGAGACCGAUAGCGCACAAGUAGAGUGAUCGAAAGAUGAAAAGCACUUUGGAAAGAGAGUUAAAAAGCACGUGAAAUUGUUGAAAGGGAAGGGAUUGCAACCAGACUUGCUCGCGGUGUUCCGCCGGUCUUCUGACCGGUCUACUCGCCGCGUUGCAGGCCAGCAUCGUCUGGUGCCGCUGGAUAAGACUUGAGGAAUGUAGCUCCCUCGGGAGUGUUAUAGCCUCUUGUGAUGCAGCGAGCGCCGGGCGAGGUCCGCGCUUCGGCUAGGAUGCUGGCGUAAUGGUUGUAAUCCGC
rnacentral:rRNA from 1 species